CUCAGAAUGAACGCUGGCGGCGUGCUUAACACAUGCAAGUCGCACGAGAACACCUCAGCUUGCUGGGGUAAGUAAAGUGGCGCACGGGUGAGAAACGCGUGGGUAAUCUGCCCCUGAAUCUGGGAUAACGCUGCGAAAGCGGUGCUAAUACCGGAUGACAUCGAAUUGACUUCGGUUGAUUGGAUCAAAGGUAGCCACUCCAUGGAAGCUACUGUUUGGGGAUGAGCCCGCGUACCAUUAGCUUGUUGGUAGGGUAACGGCCUACCAAGGCGACGAUGGUUAGCUGGUCUGAGAGGAUGAUCAGCCACACUGGAACUGGAACACGGUCCAGACUCCUACGGGAGGCAGCAGUGAGGAAUUUUGCGCAAUGAGGGAAACCUUGACGCAGCAACGCCGCGUGAGUGAUGAAGGCUUUCGGGUCGUAAAGCUCUGUCAAGUGGGAAGAAAUCCCGGGAAGUGAACAGUUUUUCGGGUUGACGGUACCACUGAAGGAAGCACCGGCUAACUCCGUGCCAAGCAGCCGCGGUAAUACGGAGGGUGCGAGCGUUAUUCGGAAUUACUGGGCGUAAAGGGCGCGCAGGCGGUCAUGUAAGUCAGAUGUGAAAGCCCGGGGCUUAACCCUGGAAGUGCAUUUGAACCUGUGUGACUUGAG
rnacentral:rRNA from 1 species